rfam:Acyrthosiphon pisum strain LSR1 Contig2737, whole genome shotgun sequence.
AAAACGGUCCUUUUCAGGACCACACAGACGACUAGGACAACUUCG